rnacentral:piRNA from 1 species
AAGAACUUGCCAAAGAGAUUCGCGUCA